rnacentral:miRNA from 10 species
UGAAACUUGCGUGGAACGGGCCA